GCCUUUUUAGUGAAAAGAAAAGCUACUGCAAUUUUCUGGGCAGUUUCUUCAUUAUUCGCACGUGUGAACAGUAACCACACCUGUGUGAACAGUAUCUGUGAAAAGUAAAAUGCGUGAACACUAACCGUGAAAAUUUCUGGACAGUGUAUGAUUCGGGCAGUCCGAGAGUUUUCUCAUUUUUGGAGCUGUGGAACUCGGAUUGAAGCGAUUUUCGAAGCGAUUUUCACCAUAUGGAUUGGGAUUUGAAGCAUCCGAAGGUUGAUUCGUGCGGGCGAGCAUCGCGGGCUAGAUUUUGGACCGGAUCGAGAUUCAGGUAUAUUGGAACCUGGUAGCGGGUGUUGAUAGCUCAGCUGCGGAGUCAUCAAAGUUAGCAAGGUGGUUGCAUGACGUUCACAGUACCGCUUCCUUCCCCUCGUUGUUGUUACUGUAUUUAGUACAUUUUUAGACUUUUGUUGUAUUCAGACCUUGAUAGUUACUCAUGACUAGUGACACC